GCAACCUGGCGGCGUGCUUACCAUGCAAGUCGAACGAUGAACUGGAGCUUGCUCCAGGGAUUAGUGGCGAACGGGUGAGUAACACGUGAGUAACCUGCCCUUGACUCUGGGAUAAGCGCUAGAAAUGGCGUCUAAUACCGGAUACGAGCUUCAGCCGCAUGGCUAGGAGUUGGAAAGAAUUUUGGUCAAGGAUGGACUCGCGGCCUAUCAGCUAGUUGGUGAGGUAAUGGCUCACCAAGGCGACGACGGGUAGCCGGCCUGAGAGGGUGACCGGCCACACUGGGACUGAGACACGGCCCAGACUCCUACGGGAGGCAGCAGUGGGGAAUAUUGCACAAUGGGCGAAAGCCUGAUGCAGCAACGCCGCGUGAGGGAUGACGGCCUUCGGGUUGUAAACCUCUUUUAGUAGGGAAGAAGCGAAAGUGACGGUACCUGCAGAAAAAGCACCGGCUAACUACGUGCCAGCAGCCGCGGUAAU
rnacentral:rRNA from 1 species